rnacentral:rRNA from 1 species
CUGGCUCAGGAUGAACGCUAGCGGCAGGCCUAACACAUGCAAGUCGAGGGCAGCAGGGCGUAGCAAUACGCUGCUGGCGACCGGCGCACGGGUGCGUAACGCGUAUGCAACCUACCCGUUAACAGGGGGAUAACGGAGAGAAAUUUCCACUAAUACCCCGUAUAGAUGCGGUGCCGCAUGACACUGCGUCGAAAGCCUUCGGGUGGUUAGGGAUGGGCAUGCGUGGCAUUAGGUAGUUGGCGGGGCAACGGCCCACCAAGCCCACGAUGCCUAGGGGAGCUGAGAGGCUAAUCCCCCCACACUGGUACUGAGACACGGACCAGACUCCUACGGGAGGCAGCAGUGAGGAAUAUUGGUCAAUGGAGGGAACUCUGAACCAGCCAUGCCGCGUGAGGGAUGAAAGGCCCUAUGGGUUGUAAACCUCUUUUGCCUGGGGGGCAAUAAGGCUCAUGCGUGGGCUGAUGAGAGUACCAGGCGAAUAAGCAUCGGCUAACUCCGUGCCAGCCGCGGC